AGCUCGUGUCGUGAGAUGUUGGGUUAAGUCCCGCAACGAGCGCAACCCUUAAGCUUAGUUGCCAUCAUUAAGUUGGGCACUCUAGGUUGACUGCCGGUGACAAACCGGAGGAAGGUGGGGAUGACGUCAAAUCAUCAUGCCCCUUAUGAUUUGGGCUACACACGUGCUACAAUGGACAAUACAAAGGGCAGCUAAACCGCGAGGUCAUGCAAAUCCCAUAAAGUUGUUCUCAGUUCGGAUUGUAGUCUGCAACUCGACUACAUGAAGCUGGAAUCGCUAGUAAUCGUAGAUCAGCAUGCUACGGUGAAUACGUUCCCGGGUCCUGUACACACCGCCCGUCACACCACGAGAGUUUGUAACACCCGAAGCCGGUGGAGUAACCAUUUAUGGAGCUAGCCGUCGAAGGUGGGACAAAUGAUUGGGGUGAAGUCGUAACAAGGUAGCCGUAUCGGAAGGUGCGGCUGAAUCACCUC
rnacentral:rRNA from 1 species